AACUGCGAGCGAACGGGGAAAAGCCCAUCGCCCAAUCCGCCGCCGAACUGGCGGACCGGAAGUUUGGCGUAUAGGAGAGACGCAACCGGGCACCGACUCCGGUGCAAGUCCCCCUGACUGGGGCUCUUACCCCGAGAGGGUGCAAGGCCCGUAGCGGCCGGAAGGCGGUCCCGGAUGUCCUCUCCUGGGAGUCGGGUUGCUUGAGAGUGCAGCCCUAAUCAGGUGGUAAACUCCAUCUAAGGCUAAAUACGACCUGGAGACCGAUAGCGAACAAGUACCGUGAGGGAAAGUUGAAAAGGACUUUGAAGAGAGAGUUCAAGAGUACGUGAAACCGUUCGGAGGUAAACGAGUGGGCCCUCGAAGUACGAAGGCGGGGGGACUCAGCCGAACGUCCACGGGCCUCCCCGUGCGUCUCGCGUUUCCGAAAAGGACGCGGCGCGCGGGUGCUCGCCCGGGCUUGCGGCGCAUUUCUUCCCGUCCUCCGACGCUGCGACCGGUCGGGCGCAACCCAGAAGUCGGCCUUACUCGCGGGAACUGGCAGGUAGCCGGGACUGCGCUUCGGCGUUUUCCCCGGUGUUUAGCCGUCCCGCAAUCGAGUAGCCGUUCGCCCGACCGCAGGACGUGGCCCCCAGGGGCCUCGCCGUGCCCUCCCCCUUCGGGGGGAUCGCUUUCUCGUCCCGAGAGGGAGGCCGUCGUCUUCCCCGUUUCACCCUAGUGUGUUCGGGGAGCGGCGGUGCCCGUUGGUCGGGAUGUUUGCGAGCGGGCGCGUGCG
rnacentral:rRNA from 1 species